rnacentral:rRNA from 1 species
UACGUAGGGUGCAAGCGUUAAUCGGAAUUACUGGGCGUAAAGCGUGCGCAGGCGGUUUUGUAAGUCUGUCGUGAAAUCCCCGGGCUUAACCUGGGAACUGCGCUUGUAACUGGCAAGCUAGAGUGUGGCAGAGGGGGGGUGGAAUUCCAGGUGUAGCAGUGAAAUGCGUAGAGAUCUGGAGGAACACCGAUGGCGAAGGCAGCCCCCUGGGCUAACCACGUGACGCUCAUGGCAACG